CAGGAAUUCAAGAGAUACCACAUCUUUAUUCCUUCGGAAGAUGUCUGGCAUCCAAAAACCGAUGAUAGCAGCAACAAAAUUAUUGAAGCAGAACUGAUGUAAACAGUGCCUUUGAAGUGGAUCAAAGCCUUACAGCAAGUAUUUUCAGAACAAUGGUUCCUGAAAAUAAAAGAUCAUUAGCUGUCAGUCUUAAUGCUUCAGUUUUGACAUCUCAAGAAAUGCAGCUGCUUCCUUGGCGAGACUAAUAUAUGAAGUCAGUUCAUCUAGCUCAUUGCUCUCUUCUGGGGUGAGUACCAUCUCUUCAGGGUCUCAGACAGAGGUCUUCCCCAGUCCUGCUCCCUGACAUCUUUUAAACUGGAGAUGCUCGGAAAUGAACUGAUUUGCAAAGCGCUUUGCAUGGAUGCUGAUUCUCUUUGUUAACGUGAGAUUUCUAUACAUCUCCACUAGUCUAUCUUUGCUGUCUUAGCCUAUUUUGCUGGUGUUGGUGUAUUGCCAAAAUAAACUUGAAAUGAGCCUUCCAGCAGAGCCUUGAAGCACAUCCUUGAGGCGUGCUUAAAACAUCUGCUAGACAAUGAGAAUUUCCCCCAGCAACAGGUGUCUUAAUCCGGGGAUGUCUGGUGUGAUGCCAUUGAGUGUGAGGCAGUCAGUGUUGCUCAGUAUGGCUGCUGGAGUAUGUGAAAGUCUGUGAUCCUGUCUCUGUGGCUGGAUGGCUGAAGUGAGCUGUCAGGGACCGUGCUGAGGAGGGCUGCACUGAGGAGGUAUGGUGGGAGCCUCCCUCUCCCUCUGAUUCUGAUCCUGAAUCUUCCCAGGAACAGGAGGACAGCAUAGAUUUGGAAGAGUGGUUUGCAGAGGGGCAUAGUUCAGAAGGCAGAAGCUGGGAAAUACCAGAUGGCGAACAGCUAGGAGAAGAAACACUGGAAGAGAGAGGGUUAACAGAUUCACAGUCUCUGGAUAGCAUCCACCCCCCUUCUCCAAAGUCACAGAGAGCUCUGAAAGUGUCAGAGGGUACAAGCUCAAAUUGCAAUACGUAGGAAUGACGUAGAUUAAUAGGGGCGGAGGGGGGGAAUACCCCUUAAUUAGGAGCACGUCCAUUUCUAAGAGAUGUGUUCUUUGUGAUCAUUAAAGAUUGUAACUGGUAAGACGUCCCUUUCAUUUGAUCUCUUAUCUACUGCCAUGGGGGAGGAAGCCGAUUCCCCGAAUCCUGACAGGAGCAGAGAUCUGUAUUUAGACGCAAGAUUAAAUAUACUGCCUUCAGCUGUACUUGAGGGUCACUUUCAAAAAAAAAAUAAUCCGCUGGAAAAACGGUUAUGUCCAUGUGGCGAUGGCAGUUUUGAAUCAGUAGCUCAUGUGAUUCUAACUUGCACUCUUUAUAAAGAUUGAGUGAGGUUCUUACUCCUCUACUACAUACCAGGCCGCUCAACCAUUGCCACUGUGUCGUUUCUUCUAGCAGAUCAAGAUAAUCAGGUGACAGCAAAAACUGUAAAAAUAAAAAUAAAAAAAAAUAGCAGGGGCAAUUAGAAUAAGAUCUAUUAUUUGAUUAUUGCUGUAAACCUCCAGAAUGUAUAGUUAUAGGUGGUAUAGUUAAGUUUUUACCUCUAUCUUCAGUGCAUAUUAUUUUAUUUUAUUGCUAUGGCUAGUUGCUGAUGCAAAUAAAGAUUCUGUAUCUAGUUCUGUUUCUUAUUUAAUAUGCAGAUCAGUAGUGUUAUGCAGCCUGUAAUGUAAAUAAUAAAGAUUUUAGAGAAGAACUGGAUGGAUGAAGUGGUUAUUCUUGUCACGGGAAUUCACCAAGAGAGGGCUGGACUGCUGAUGCUGUGAAGACGCAGGAAAAAUUUCUGAGUAACUAUUAAGACAGAGUAGAGGAACCUUAAGAGUUGGUGCUCAUGCACUAACAGGGUGGGUAGAGACUAUUGUCUCAAGCCCUGGGAGUAGCUGCAGUUUCCUAUGUUUGUCUGCAUUGUCGUUACUCUAGUAUUUAUUUAUUUAUUUUUUAUUCUAACAGCUUCUGGAACUGUUGCAAGAUGAACCUCCUGGAUGAGAUACUAACUAACCUCAGCAAUGUCAUGGUCCUCCCCACUGCAUCCUGCUACAUCCUUUCAUUGUAGAGAACUAAGGGAAAAAAGCACUCCUAGCAAACAUGUGCCAUGAUGGGGGUCAACUGGGUAGAUGGAAAGAAAUCUUUUAGGUGGUCCAUUUCCAAUGGAUGUCUCUGCCAUAACUGUAAGCAACUUAUCCACCUUUCUGGUGAGGUCGAACAGGCUGGAGAAGGCUCUUUGUACUACCACCACCUAUAGUUUGAAUGCAUGGAGAAUGACUUUCUGAAUCUCAGAGGAGAAAAGGCGAGACCUGAGGCAGUUCUGCUCCUAGUAACUACGUAGCUUAAAACAGAGUGAUCAUGGUUUAGUGAGUUCAUUCACACAAUCAGCUUCAGAUUCCUAAUUCAAUAUAUUUGUUAAAUGCUACAAAGUAAAUGAAUGAGGAAUAAAAAGGUAAAGGUAAAGGUACCCCUGCCCGUACGGGCCAGUCGUGUCCGACUCUGGGGUUGCGUGCUCAUCUCGCUCUAGAGGCAGUGAGCCGGCGCCGUCCGAAGACACUUCCGGGUCACGUGGCCAGCGUGACGAAGCUACAGCUGGCGAGCCAGCACCAGAGCAGCACACGGAAACACCGUUUACCUUCCCGCUAUAAAGCGGUCCCUAUUUAUCUACUUGCACUUAAGAGUGCUUUCGAACUGCUAGGUGGGCAGGAGCUGGGACCGAACGACGGGAGCUCACCCCGCCGCGGGGAUUCGAACCGCCGACCAUACGAUCGGCAAGUCCUAGGCACUGAGGUUUUACCCACAGCACCACCCGUGUCCCAUGAAUGAGGAAUAUCUGAUUGCAUAAAAAGGUCAUUUUCUAACUAGCCUUGCAUGAGUACUUUUUUUUUUAAAGUGUGUUAAGUACUUGUAUACAAAAAGAGCAAAAUCCUUACACAAGACCACUUAUGGAUGCUGAAGGCACUGUGAAGCAAUCUAUGUAGCAAGCUGAGGCAUAUAUCAUACUAAAACCACCCCAUUUUACAUUGUGUUCAGGGUCUGGGUCGAUUGAUGAUUGACAAAGGGAAACAGAAAUGCACUCAAAAUUCUUCAGCUGUGUGUAUGUGUACAUAAAGACACAAUGAGUGUCUCAACAUUUGUCAUUCCUGUGAAUAAGGAAGAAUGGUAAAUAUGGAAGGUUCUUGUAUUUCUGUCAGAUGGGAGGCAAAUAUCCUGUUAUGUAUUGCAAAGGAAUUCUUUGGAUGUGCCUUGUCCCUUCUACUAUAAGACAUGGAUAGUAAGUAUCAUGGCUGAGAUGCAAUGACUGAAUUGGGAAGAAAGGAGUGGAGGUUCUGCAUUCACUGUACUCACUGAAAACAGUGGGGCACACUUCUGAAUAAACAUGGAAAUGGUUAUGCUAUAAGAACUUGCACCGAUCUACUGAUGUAGCCAACUCACUUGCAUGCCUUGCACUGGUAUGAAGGAUAUGACUACAGGCUGUCUACAUGCAAGGUGUGGAGAUUAUCACCCUUGGACCAAAAAAAAGGCCAUUAAGAUUGCUAUCCUAAAUAAAAUUACCAGGGAGCAAGCACAAUUGAACACAAUGGAACACGCUUCUAAUUAAGCAUGCAUAGGACUGCACAGUUAGGCAGUCUCUUGCUUAAAUGCUUUCUCUCAGUUUAAAUGAAAGAGCGCCAUUUUUGUUAACUACAGUUUUCUAUGAGCCAUAUCGUUCUAAAUGUGUUCAAAUUACUGAUCUGAAUACGAGCCAAGUGUGAAAAAUUAGAGGACAAGCUCAGUCUGAAACCCACUCUAUUUCAUGGCAUCAAUGUAUCUUAUAUGUGCCUUGAGGACUUCCUUUGAAGCAUGGAGAUCUUUUGAAACUCUCUUACAUAAAUUAGACGGUCAAGGACAUUAAUGCCAUCCCAUCAAUGUGUGCCUCAGUCACAAGAGUAGUAUAAAAUUUUAGCACAGACACUCUGCCCAUCACUUUCCAGAUCUAGCCUCAUUAACCUACGUCUGCCUGAAAAACUGCAUAUGCAGCUACUAUUGUGUAUGAUUUUCCUGCUCAGAUAACACUUCUGGAUGAAUUGUGUUGACCAUCUAAAAGCAGGUACUUCUGAAAAUGGGCUUUGACUUGUUUUACUUUUGUUGUUGUUUUUGUUUUUAAAAAUCAUCUUACUAAACAAAACUAAGCAUACAAGUCCAUAUUUUUGCCCUUUCAUUAAACAACAGAUCUUCAAAUCUUUAUUUCCUACACAGUGGAUGAUCUGUAAGGUCAAAUGACUCUCCACCCACUAGGGACUCAGAAAAUCUACUGACCGGUUUCUUUAUCAUUCAUUUCUACCUUGCUUCAUCAAAAGGUGUUUCCUCCCUUUACUUGGCUGGAGAAUUGCAUUGCAAAAUUUCAAGCAAUUUGAUAUAAACCUGCGCUGGUAAAAAUGGGUCGCCUGAUGUCAUUGUGAUAUCAAAUGAUUGACAAGUGGGUGUUGCUGUCAGACUUGGUUUGCUGGAGAUGGAGGAGAUAAUGAUCUAGCCUGCCAGCUUGGUCCAGUUUCCCACCUCUGACUUCACACACACAUACACACACACAACCUUCCAUCCUCUCAACAAUUACAGUCCCACAGAUACAUUCACCAAAGUCCAUAAUACAACACUGACAACCUAAGAAAAUAAGGCUAAUGUUACUUUAAUUUAUGAUCCCACCCCAAUAAAACCUCACGCUGCCCAUUCAUAGAGUCACAUACAUCAUCCGAUAACCUGCUUUCUCUUAAUGGGGCUCUUUGGUCCAGAUUGUACAGCUGCAUUUUUGGGAGAGGUCCCUCUGGAGAUGGAACAUAGCUCUGAGCACAUGUGUCAGGAAUGUGCCCCCUCUCCCAGAGCACAGCAGAAGAGUCAGCCUCUGAAAUUGAGCUAAGUGAGCAAGGAGCUGACUCUGCCACUGAGAGCUGUCUGCCUGAGUUUAGAGAAGACAGUCUGCCCCUCCCCCAGGCAAGACACUGUUAGCUCCCAAGGAGAGGAAGAGUUGGAAGUUGGACAAAGCAUUGCCAGGCAACCAGCAGAUAAGCCAGAAUUGGAGGGUGUGUCUUCUGCAGUCCCAGGACAAGGAGAUUAGAGAAGCUCAGAGAGCAAUGGAAGGGAAGGAGAAGAAAGGUGGGGUUUUGGCGUCCUUCCUGUUGGGGGAGGGACGGUGAGUCCGACUGAGAUCAUUAUAAUAUGCUUUUCAUGGAGAAGUCCCACAUUCGUUCCCUGGUAUUUCCAGUUAAAAGAUGCAAGAUUUGAGAAAGCUUGCUGCCUGAGAUUCUAAAGUGUAACUGCCAGUCAGAAAAAGAAAAAGAAAACAAUACUGGACUAUAUCAGGAAUGGAGAGCCCAUGGUCUUCCAUAUGUUGUUGACUACAAUUCCCAUUAUCCCUGAACACUGGCUACGAAGACUGAGAGUGUUAGGACUUGGAGUUCAGCAACUUCUGGAGGGCAUGAGAGUUCAUCCCUUGGCUUGAUGGACAAAUAGUUUGACUUGGUGUGAAACAGCUACAUAAUUUCUCAUAGCCUUAAAGAGAACUGUGAAGUGAUUGAUUAUGGAGCAAAUGGAUAGGGAGCACUUCAUGUAUUGAGUGUCUUGGGUCAUCAUUCCACUUACUGAUAUAAAAGGAAAUAACUGAGAGCAGAUAUCUGUAUGUCAUAUUCUAUCUGUCUGGGUAUGAAGAGUAAUGAUACGGAAGAUGAUAAUGUUCAAGUUAUAGCCCUAAAUUUAAUCUCUAAGGUACCAUUGAAGUAAUGGAAAAACAAGGCCCAGUGUAACUGGUAGGGAUGAAGGAAUCUGAUAAUUUCAGUUUCUCUUUUUUGCCUCCUAAACUUACAUUUCUACUUCAGUUUGUGAUUUUUGCCCCCCCAAGAAAAUGUCAUCAGCAGCAUUUUAGUGCACAGGGCACACACUUCUAUAUACAAUUGUGCCUAACAUGCACACUUUUGCAAAGCAAUUUAUAUAAUUUAAUGCACUUUUGUAAGUUAUUUUCAUUAAUACAUGCAUUUGCAUGCCCAGGUAAUGUGACAUGCUGUUGUCAUAACACAAGCAAAUAAAUAAUGAAAAACCACAGACAAGAAUUAUUGGAUUUGAAUUAGGCCACAACUUUAUUGAUUUCAGAUGUGAGAUUUGACUUGGCAUUGGGUAUCACCCAUACUAACCCAGACCCUCCAAGUGUCCCUAUUUUCCAGGGGCAUCCCUGAUUUAGAGAAGCUGUCCUGGUUUCUGAUUUGAUCCUGGAAUGUCCCACUUUUCCUUAGGAUGUCCCUAUUUUCUUUGGAUAAAUGUUGGAGGGUAUGGAGUUAUCUAUCCCCAGAGCCGUCUGAAGGCAAUCCUGUAUAGGGAAGUUUUUUUUUAAUGUUUUAUUGUGUUUUUAUGUCGGAAGCCGCCCAGAGCGCCUGUGGCAAGCCAGUCAGAUGGGUAGGGUAUUAGUAGUAAAAUUAUCAUUAUGGAAUGGGACGUCCCUAUUUUCAUCAGAGAAAUGUUGGGGAGUAUGCUAUCCAGCCCACAUGUUGGACAUGUGAUCAAACCUGUUGAGGGAGAUGGGGAUGAGAAGCAGAGACAAAUGAAAGGAUGCAACCUUGAGUUGAGAGAGGGAGGGAAAUCCAAAAGGUGACUGCGGUGCCAGGUGAGGGGGCAGGCCAGCUUAUAUGGCUGAGGAGAGGACCUGAGUGAAGCCUCCCUCAGGAGUCCCGGUCAGCUCCACCCCAGAAGCUGCGCCUGUGAUUGGCUAAUUUUGUAGGAAGGCCAACUUGAAUUCCCCUGGCCAAUGGAAAAGGUGGUAAUGUAUCCCAUUGGCCAGAAGAUGGUGGAGGGGCUGUGAUGAAUGAGUGGGGAUUUGUAUUUAAAUUUUACCCAAGCUUAUGCAUUUUUGUAGCACAUUACUUGUUUGAAUAAUGGUAUUGUGAAAUUCAGAGAAGUUCAAAUUUUGAAGGAUGGCUCUGUUUUUGUGUAUUAUUUCAGAAAGUGUGAAUUUGGUGGGUUCACCUUCACAUACAAACUGAAUUAACCCCUCCCCCCCAAUUGCUAGUGCCUUUAUUCUUGGACAUGAGUGGUCUUGCCAUAGGUAUGGCAGGUAUUGCAAUACUGUGCUGGUUCAUAUCCACAUAUAAGACCAGGAAAGGGCCCAUCAUUGUUUCUUGCUGCUUUUGUUUUACUGCUGUGAUACCUUUCCCUGCGACUUUCUCUUUUAAGAGAUCUAUGAGUUAUGCAGCAUUUUCAUUUACCAUAUUUACAUAUUUAAUACUGCGGUCAAAACGUUCUAUGGCAACUGAUUGGAUUAUGCAAAUAAGGGGUAGAACUGUUCCAGAACUCUGCCACUUCAUAAUUAGGGUGGGAGGUUGCAGGAGUGAAUGUUUCUUUAUAUUAAAAACUCAUAGCGGGCUUUCAAAAAAUCAGUUUUGCAGGGACACGAAUCCCUUGUAAAAGUGGCGGAUGGUGGGGAGGUGAGAUGCAAUGACUUGGAAGGAGGCAAAUUUCAAUAUUGUUUGUUGCCUAUCUUUAACUAUUUUUUUGAAAAUGAAAAUGAAAUGAAAAAUGAAAGCUGUGCAGAUGCUAGAAGCAAUGGCCCAGCUGGGAGUGGCACUGUAUCAUGAUGUCAUGUUGCUCCCGGGAUGAUUUUGGGUAAAAAUAAAAACAAUAAGAUUAUUUUUCACAUAAUGUUUUCACUCAUCCUUUGAAAUUUGGCUGGGCUGAAUCCAGCACUGUUAAAAAGAAAACAACAAAUCUCACACAUAAGCAACUAGAGAUAGGAGAGAUAUAUAGCUUGGACUUUUUUUCCUGAAAUGCUAACUCUAUUUGCAUCAUGAAGCCCUUUUCUUUCCCCCUCCCAUAUCCCCACAUAAUGCCUGAAGGCUGUACUGUUCAGGAGCAGACCUACCACUUCUAUUAUUGUGCAAACUAGGCCAAAGUCCCUUUCAUAGCAGCUAAUUAGGACUUGCACUCUACCUGGGAGUGAAUGAAAAGGAAAUCAUUGCUGAGCAGUUUUUGCAAGCUCUGCAGAUGCACUUUGAGAAUCCCCAUUGGUUGAGUAACUCUGUUUAUUUGUAUGUUGACGCUUGUACGUGUGUGUGCUAUUUUUCUAGAAAAAGAGAUGCCGGAACUCACCCUGAAUGCCUCUGUUGUUCUCUUUUAAUGGCAAUGGCACCCACCUGAGAGAGGCCAGAACUGAGUUCUGGUGAGUUCCAGCUGGAAAAAAGCCAACAAACACACACACAUUUCUAGAAUAUAUUUGUUUAGAUUGCAUUCUGUAAAAGAAUCAAUCUAAAUGUGAGGGGAAACCAAGAGCUCAUUUUCUUAGCACACUGGUUUUGGUUUGUGCUGGAGAUACAAGCAAAAGUGAAAACUGGGAGCACUUGAAAGAUUAAGAGACUGGCACUGGUACUGCAAAUUGAAAUCACUUACAGCUUGUGUGUGUGCUGCAGAUAAUCAGCCUCCCCCAGACAGGUAUCCUUCAUAUGCUUUAAACUACAACUCCAAUCAGCCCCAGUCAGCAUAACCAAUGGACCAAGAUGAUGUAAGCUAUAGUCGAAAGCCAUGGUUCCCAACGUGGGGCACACGCCCCACGGGGGGGGGGGGGACAAUUUGAUUUUUUUAAAAAAAUAAUAAUAUUUAUUAGUAGUUUCAGAAUUAUAGAAAAUAAAAACAAAAAACAAAAAACAACACAAUAAUACAUAAAAAAGAGAAAAAAGAAAGUGCAAAAACCAGUACAACAGUACAGCAAAAAGAUAAAAAGAAAAAAGGAAGACAGAAAAAAAACACAAAUCCCAAAUUACAUAUCUAUAACUUCCAUUUGCUUGUUUCAUUGACCUCUUCACACCUCCCUUCUUGCAUUCCAGUUCAACUAGUUAUUUCAGCAAAUUCUUUCCAUCUUUCUCAAAUUUUGUUACAAAAUUUAUCUUAACAAUUUAACCUAAUAAUUAGCUCAACAGAUCCUUUCCAUCUUUCCCCAUAUUCUGUUAUUCAAAUUACCUUAGUUUAUUUAACCUUAUCUUACCCUAAAAUACCUUAAAGCUUAAAUCUUAGUUUUCAAAUAUACAUAACUCCUGAUAUCAUUUCUGCUAGAGUCAUAUAGUUUCAUUCCAACAUUUUCCCUAAUAUUCAUUAAUUUUAAGCUAAUUCCCCAAAUAGAAAGUUAUUAUUUAUAAUUUUUUCCAAUUUUCAUCCAACGUCUCUUCUUCCUGGUCUCGGAUCGUGUCAGUCCUUACUGUCUAUUCCAUCUAGUCCAUCAACCUGGAAGCCUUAUGUCCGAGGCCCUUAAGUCUCUUCCAUGUCCCUUCUGCAGUUCUUCUUCUUCUUGUUUAUACUUGCCCUUUUCCUUGUCUUUUGUUGGUGGGACAAUUUGAUUUUUAAGGGGGGCAAUUCAAGAAUGAGUUAUUAACCAUUGAUGGCCUUUUAGGGUUCCUACACAUGAAUAGAAGUUCACUUUUUAAUAAUAAGAAAUACCACAUUUUUCGCUCUAUAAGACGCACCGGACCAUAAGAUGCACCUAGUUUUUGGAGGAGGAAAACAAGAAAAAAAAUAUUCUGAAUCUCAGAAGCCAGAACAACAAGAGGGAUCGCUGUGCAGCGAAAGCAGCGAUCCCUUUUGCUGUUCUGGUUUCUGGGAUAGCUGCGCAGCCUGCAUUAGUUCCAUUAGAUGCACACACAUUUCCCCUUACUUUUUAGGAGAGAAAAAGUGAGUCUUAUAGAGCAACAAAUACGGUAUAUGUCAUGGGGUGGGGGGGCAUCAGGAUUUUAGAGAUGCUUAGGUGGGGCAUGGCCAAAUAAAGGUUAGGAACCACUAGUCUAAAACAUCUGGAGAGCACCAGGUUGGGGGAAGGUUGUUGCAGUGGCACUGGCACCCCAUAGCAUAACUGCCAGGUGGCUGAAAGACCACUGAAACCCAAUACUAUUCUCUGAAACUGACCCAGGAGACAGGAUCAGGACCAUUGUAAAACAAUGUCUCCAAUACCAACAUUAAAGAGUUGGUUAAGGAGGAUGGUCAAUGGUAUCAAAAGCCAAUGAAAGAUCAAGUAAGAAUAACAGUCAUGCUUCCCUGUCCUCUUGAUAAAGGCAAUCGAUCUGUGCCACCAAGGCCAAUUGAGUCCCAUCAACAGGCCUGAACCCCAAUUGGAAUUGGUCGGGAUAAUUGGUUUCAUCCCAGAGUACUUGCUACUGCUGCAGCACGACCCUCUCAAUCAAUCCAUUUUCCCAGAAUGGUGUUAUUUGUGACCAGGAGGCAAUUGUUACCAAUCAAUGGAUCUCAGGUGGGAUUUUUAAAGAAUUGUUGCUUCUUUAAAGCCAGUUAGAACCACUCCCUCCUGCAAGGAUGCAUAGACCACAUCCUGAAUGAUGAUAGCAUAACAACAACAACAACAACAACAACAACAACAACAACAACAACAAUAACAACCCUAAAAUAUUUUAAAACAACUAAAUCCCAACAAACAGGGUCAAACAACUGUUGAUGUCAACUGUAGCAGAAGGACACUCAAGGUACCUGCCAUUAAAAACUUUUUUUUCAAAUUCAUCCUUGGUAAUAUGGCACCAGACUAGACAAAGGAUAGUUGUCAAGUCUCUCUGGUUGGUCUGGGAAACUACCAUUCUCAUUACUGUCAAAGAUGGGAACACCUGCAGCAGGGACUCAUAUGGUCUUGAUAAUAAACAGGCAGGCUCAGAUGCAAGAAGCCAGACCUUCAGAUACCCCUGCUCUAGGCAUCAUCAAUGACACCAGCAAGAAUGUGAUGGGACCCAAUGUGGAACAGGAUGAAUCUCUAAUGUGUGUGUGUGUGUGUUAUAAUAAAUAAAUAAAUAAGCAUAUUUUGAGCUCACUGCAAUUGGAGUCAAGGGGAGUUGGUCCAUCAUAGCCAUAGGGGUGAGAAACCUGUUUUGUUUUUUGUUUUUUUAAAGUAGUUUACAUUCCCAGGAAGCUGAUUUUUUUCAGUCAGGAAGAAUUUGUUCCCUUGCUCUGUACUGUACUGUUCCAGAAUAAAUACCUGUUUUAUUGUCUUCUCAUGCUAUUCCUCCAUCACAAAAGAGGUAUCAAAGCACAACAAUUAUUGUAGAACUUGGGAAACUUUUCUUAGUCCUCUUGCAUCUUAGAAAGGAGGCUGGGGUGAGGGAGCGCAUAAUGAGAUCCACUGUGGGGAAGUCAAGGAACAAUUUGCAAGCUGGAGCUGUGUUAGUGCCUAUCCUUCUGAAAUCAUGAAGUCUAUAGAAUUAAAUCAGUUGCAUGACCCAGUUACAAAACUCACCCAAUAAAGACUCUGCAAAGUGUUUUGUUUUGUUUUUCAUUUCUUUCUAGGAGCACCAACUCAAGUGAGUACACAAAGCUGGACUUAAUUGAGACAAUAUUCCUACAGAAGAUGAACUUCUCUAGCAGAGUCUGUGGUGAUCACAGCUCACCCAAGUCAGAUGACAAAAGCUGGAUGUCAGAAAAGUCACAAUGUAUGGAUGGGCAAGGCCUGGGGCUCCCCAAACAAGGUUGUUAAGCACCUGGUAGGGCACAAUACAUGGGGAAGCUGUGUUUGGCUUGAUGGGUCACUGGAGCACUGUGUCUAGUUAUGGGCACUGCAAUCUAAGAAGGAUAUUGACAAGCUGGAACAUGUGCAGAGGAGGGUAAACAAGAUGAUCAUGGGUGUGGAAACCAAGCCUUACGAGGACAGUUGAGGGAGUUGGUAUGUUUAGCCUGGAAGAGAAAAGACUGAGAGGAGAUAUGAUGUUGUUGUUUAGUCGUGUCCCACUCUUCGUGACCCCAUGGAAGGGGCUUGAAUAACUCAGAGAAGCUAUGAGCUAUGCCGUGCAGGGCCACCCAAGAUGGACAGGUCAUAGUGGAGAGUUUUGAGCACACGUGAUCCACCUGGAGCAGGAACCGGCAAGCCACUCCAGUAUCCCUGCCAAGAAAACUCCAUGGACAAAGAUAACAGGAGAUAUAAUAGCCAUCUUCAAGUAUCUAAGGGGCUGUCACAUGGAAGAUGGCGCAAGCUUGUUUUCUCCUGUUCUGGAGGCUAGGACCCAAACCAAUGGCUUUAAGUUAAAAGAAAGGCAAUUCCCGCUAAACAUCAGGAAUACUUUCCUGACAGUAAGAUAGCUGUUCAAUAGUGCAAUGGACUCCCUUGGAGAUUUUUUAGCUGAUUUUGGAUGGCCUUCUGUCAUGGAUGCUUUAAUUGAGAUUCCAGUGAUGCAAGAAGUUGGACUAGUUGGUUCUAUUAUUGCUACCCCUGGUCCCCUCCCAAACUGGUGGGUCGAGCUGGCUGGGACUGAUAGCAGUUGCAAUCUAAAACUUCUGGAGGGCAUCAGAUUGGGGGAGGGCUGGUGUGUUUGUGUGUGUGUUGCUAUGAAGCCACUGAAGUGCCUUAUAGUAAGCUAUGAUAAGUUUUUUACUUACAUGUUGGACGUGGGACUAAAUGGAUUAAAAGUCACAAUUAAUAGGUACAAAAUUUAAGGUAUUGAGACUGUACUCCUACCUGGGAGAAAGACCCAAUGAAUUCACUGGAGCUUGAUCGAUAAAACUUUAUUCGCAUUAGCCAAUGGCCAUAGCAACAGUAAAACAUUACAGUAUACACAGAAAAGGAAAUUUGAUAUAAGAGCGCAAUUUAAACUCCUGAAUCAGCAAUCAGUUAGUGGCCCUUAUUCUGAUUGCCCCUGCUAUGAACCUAGCAACCUUUGCUGUUAUCUGCUCAUUUUGAUCUGAUAGAAGAAAGAACAUUGUGGCAGUAGUUGAGCACCCUGGGAUGGUUAGUAUGAGUGGGGUGAUGAUCUCGUUCCUCAGGUCUUUAUAGAGAGUACAAGACGGGAGGACGUGUGCCGCUGUUUCGGUGCUACCAUCUCCACAGGGGCAAAGGCGUUUCUCAGGCGGGAUCUUUUGGAAUCGAAUCUCAAGUACCCCAGAUGGCAAAACAUCCAGUCUUGCAAGUGUAAAAGCAUGUCUGUAUUUUGGGAUGAUAAGUUUGUGCAGAUAUGGAGCCAGAGAAUAAAAAUGGAGAGGUGGAAAAUGAAUAUACCAAGGGCAGAAUUUCCUUAUAGUGUCCAGGUUGUUCUGACACUCGAUAUCUAUUAGACGUUGACCAGUUAGGCUGUUUGCUUUAGUAGGGCCCAUACUGAGUAGGUGUUGUGGGGAUAGGCCACAAGAGUGAAGUUUUUGAUAGACAGUUUUAAGCCAGGCACUUUUAUGGAAGUCUUGAAGUACUAGGGAUAGUAAAUCGGGGGGAUUUGAGGAUUUGGAGCUUACUUCAGAGCAGACAUGCUUAGCGUUGAACUUAAAUCUAUUUCUAUCCCCUGCUGUAACAACAAAACAAAGAAAGAUGAGGACACUUUAAGAAAACCUCUCCCAGAAAGAAGCAAUCCCUCCUCUUCUCCUUCAACUCAUAACCUAUCUGAUCCUAUUAUGGACACUUCCUUAAUAGUCCUGACAAAGUGUCCAUCCCUUCAUAGGGAGAUGGGCUGAUUGCUCUCAAUACCAUAUAUUUCUCCAGACUUCAAGAUAGGUUGGAAAUACUUCAAAGGGAGCAUGGCUUUCUGCAUCUACCAAGCUCAAGAUGAUGUAAUCUUGGUGAAAGCAAGCCUGCAGAUUUUGAGUGAGAGACCGACUACGAAAUCAAGACAGCUGAAAGUAAGCUCUGGGAGCAUGGUGGUGAAUAGCUGGCACUCUCCUUAUCACUGGUGAGACAGUGGAUUUGGCUACCCAUUGAAGUGCUUAUGUUGUGUUUCCACCUAGUUCAACCUAUAAAUUUGUAAAUGAACUCAAAAACCCCAAUAAGCUGCUGGUGAUCUGUUGGGACCAGGGGAGACCAAACCUGGGUAAGCUCCAUUUCUUUGUUGCUUUUUCACA